UACGUAGGGGGCUAGCGUUGUUCGGACUUACUGGGCGUAAAGCGCGUGUAGGUGGUUGUCCAAGUUGGAUGUGAAAGCCUUGAGCUCAACUCAAGAAAUGCAUUCAGGACUGGAUGGCUAGAGGACCGGAGAGGAUAGUGGAAUUCCCAGUGUAGUGGUGAAAUACGUAGAGAUUGGGAAGAACACCAGUGGCGAAGGCGGCUAUCUGGACGGUUUCUGACACUAAGACUCGAAAGCGUGGGGAGCAAACAGG
rnacentral:rRNA from 1 species